rnacentral:hammerhead_ribozyme from 1 species
GAUGACGAGUCCAAAAUGGGACGAAACGCGCGUCC